UGUGGCGUCCACCAAAAUGUAAAGGAUUGUUUGUCUGCACAGGAUCCCCACUGUGUGUGGUGUGUCUCUGCUGACAGCUGCACAUUUAAAGACCACUGCACAGAUUCAGAGUGGUUGUCCAUCCCUAAUGAAUUGCAGAAAAAAAUGGUUUCCCAUCAAGUUAUGAAGGACUCCCAUGGAAAGAUCAAAUUAAUGAUCCAGACACAUCUGACUGUGGAGCAGAAGCUUCAUUUUAACUUCACCUGUGAAUUCUCUACAAAUUCUAGUCAG